AGAAGAAAAGGAUUGGAAUAUAUUGAUAAUGAAUUAUAUUCGUGCAUAAAUGACUGAUAUCGAGCAUAUCGAUUAAUUAAUGUUCGUAUCUACGAAAAGAAGUGUGUUCGAUUUGAGAAAAGUUGUAAUGCACGGAUACAAAAUGUCGAUUUAGAUAGUGAAAGGAAAGAGAGGGAAAAAAGUGCGCGCUACAGGGUUACCUAUGCACGUCCCACUGAGCGAAAAUUUGCAUGCGCGUUCCGGACUUAAUUAGGUUACACGCGAAACGGGUUGAAGUUCACACGCUUCAUUAGACAUUCCGAAGGGUUGCCACGUUUUGAUGUACGCCUUUACCUUUUCUGCCCUUUCUUCCUCUCUUUUCCUUCACUUUGCAUUUCGCUGCGUCCUACAUACACUCUCACGCUCCACUUUUGCCUCUCCUCUGCUUGGAUGAUCUACUCGAAGGAUAUAAUCGUUUUUUUUUUUUUUUUUUUUAAUUUAACGUUAUAUCUUUUCAUAUAUCACUUUUAUGUCGAACUUUGAUUAUUGACUUCUACAAAUAUACAUUUUACUACGUUGCUUUAUUUAUCUAUAUAAUAAUUUCAUUUUUAAAUUUCUUAAUGAUAAAGUUAUUUCGAUAUAAAAUCAACUCUUUUCAUAAGUUGUAACUCUUGAAAAAGUUCCAUUGGUAGUAUUUUAAUAACUCGAGCAGACUUCUCGUUUCGUUAACAAGUCGUAAUUAUCAACGAUUGAUCGUUUUUCUCUCUGCUCACGAUAACUUUGCUUCCUUUUUUUUUUCUUUUUCUUUUUCUUUUCUUUCUUUUCUUUUUUUUUCCCUCAAUUUUGUCGAUAAGUCGACCGUAGAAACUGUUAAUAAUGUAUUAUGCUUUUAAACCGUCGACUCUCGAACUCUUCGAUCGUCGCUGUAAAGCGAGGCAAAAGAAGAAUUCAGAUGAUGGUCGUUUUGUUCGUUUUAGAAUUUCGUUGAGUGUCGUGAUCGAAAGCUGAUAGGGAAAGAAAAAAAAGAAAGAAAAUGAGGAACGUCCAUUAAAAAGGUAAUUAGUAAGAAGGAUCUGAAAAUUCUAUGGCGUAUCGAGAAUAAAUUAAUGUAAUUAUCUCUUGAGAAUCGAUGGCACUUUGUGAAACCAAAAUGAAUGAUUAGAAUGAAUUCUCAAUCCACAAACUUUAUUUUCAUUCGAUUAAAAAAUUGAAAUUUCGAAUGAUAUUUUUCUUUCGUUUUUCACGUCAAUUUGAAAAGUUUAUAUACCUAUUUGAUAAUAAUUGUUAAAAAUAAUUUCAAGUAAACGAAUCGUCAAUGUACAGCUUAUUAACGUACCAAUUAACUCACCUUCUUCUCACUGCGUUUUUUAAACUCGUUUUCUAAACGAACACUAUUAAUCUCUGCGGGUGGUUGGCUUUAAUAUGCUAAAUACUUUGCCAGUUAACCCCUGAGAUACGCAUACAUAAACGGGACCGUGUAAACGAUGCUUCUUACGAAUAAUUAUUAUCGAUUAAUAACUUGAAAUAUUUAAAUGGCUAAAUAUCUGAACACAAUUUUUUAUUAUCACGAUCUUAGAUUCGAUUAAAUUCAUACAAAAGGGACGAGCCGUUCAUUCGGAAUAAAAUAAAAAGGUAUAACCGUUGUCAUUAUUUUGUUCUAUUGUGUUCUAUUUUUUUGAAGAUUUGACUCCGCCUUUGGCACAUUCGAAUGUCGAAUUGGAACGCUCUUCUUUCGUAGAUCAUCCGAUGGCAACGUGAUCUCGCAAGAAUUAACGAGCUCUCGUACGAAUAGAGAUGGGCGCAUUCGUAUGAACGCGUACGUGAGACAAGACAGAGUAGAGAAAAAAAGGGGCAAAAGAGAGAGAGAGAGAGAGAGAGAGAGAGAGAGAGAGAGAGAGAGAGAGAGAGAGAGAAAGAGUGAGAUAGAAAGAGUAGAAUUCGUUCGAAGGGUCUCGUCUUUCGUUCUUCUUUCGUAGAUAUAGUAUUCCGUUUAGAUUCUCAGGCACGGGCGUGAGUAAGUAUGCAAAUGAAAUAACGAGGGAGCUCAGGGACGUGGUUAAAUCGUGCUCGUGUCUUGCAAACUUGCUUUUCGACGAUUAUAAAUCAAGUCGAACAAACUAAUGCAAAGUAAUAUUGUUGGUUUGAUAUUUUAUAAUUAUCAGAUGAUGGAUUUAUUCUUAUAUAGAAUAUGUAUAUAUAUAUAUAUAUAUUUCUUUUUUCUUUCUUCUAACUUUUUCUGAAAAAAUAAUAUCUGUUAUAUAUUUUUUUCGAAAUAGAUGAGAAAUAAUCUGUAAGAAAAACAAUUGUAGGGAUCGACGAUGGGUGGAGCGUAACUUUUUGAAUGACGGCACUGGUUAGAGAGUAGAGAGGUGCCCUUGAAGGGACCCAUUACGCGUGAGCCGAACAAGAAAGGAGAAAAAACGACACAUUGUGAUGGUAUGUAUGCGUAUGGGGUCGUACCACGUACCGUGGGACUAGAACAAAGGAUCGCGAUAAAAACUGGGCAUGAAUCCAGGCCUUUGCAGUCGCCAACGAGAAGGAGAAGGAAAAGGAGGGAGAAGUGGGUCAGCGGGGGCCUUGUGCUCUUUCAAACCUGCUUCUACAGCUUCAGUCAACAACGUGCGUAUUCGCUACACGUUCGUUCAUUCGCAGCUCCGUUUAUUUUUAUCUAUCAUCAAAUGUUAAAUCUGCGAAUUAAUCGGAAGACGUCCGAGUGUUUUAUAUACUUCAAAGACAAUCAGGCGACUUUCAUUUAACAAGUGUUCUCGAAUUCGUGUUCAUCGUGAAAAUGAUAGUACACUCAGUAUUUUUUUAUUUCAAAUAUUUCUAUUAUUUGUCGACGGUUAAUGGACAAGCGAACGUUUGAAAAGGACUGCUUUGUUCCGAACAUUGUCCCAAAAUGUGGUCCAUUUCCGUCCUCGAGUUUUAAUUCUCGUCUUAAUAUAAAUAUUUUUUUUUUUGCUCUCUUGAAAAGUACAAAGCUCGGUUCGAGACAAUCGAAGAACGUAUGUUGAAUGAUAUAAAGGAAAUUUUUUUGCGCGCCUUCUGCUACUCACGAACAUGGUCCAAGGACACAAGCCAUUUCGAAAGGAAAAGCGGAGUGGUUCGUGGAGUGGCGGAUAUUUAAGAACCGGAAUUAUCCCACCCCUCCGCACUCUUCUUAUAUUUAUGCGCGUUUCGACCUAUCGGCCUUCUACCUUGCUUUCGGAGCAAGCAGUUUUUAAGCGAGCGCCGGUCGAUCCACUCCUUUUACGUGCGGGGUAUUCGAAGCUUCUUACAAAAUCGAUUUUCGCAUUUAAAGAAGACCGCGGUGUCAUCUUCAAAGUUACGAGGCUGCCUGAGGAUUUAACUGUAAAGGCAAAGGAAGAAAAUUUCGAGUUUGUUCGGCUUUCGGGACGAGUCCUGGGAUCGAGCCGAUAUGAAGGACUAUUUUAUUGGCGAGGGUGUUUUAAAGAUGGCCGUUUCUAUAGCAAUGGCCGGUGAUAUUGUGGGGAUCUGGAGCAUUGGGGCAUCGACGAACAAAACCUUCUUUUGCAUACGGUUGGCAUAGGUUUGGCAUAGGGUUGACUCAUAUGUCCAUUUAAAAUGGAGAAAACGAUGAUUACGUUAGACUCAUUGAACGAGUGGACGUAAUAUCUUCGUAAUUACGGAUUGAACAAUUCGUUCUUCGAACUUUGAUAUGGUACAAAUACAGAAACAAAGGAAGAAGAAAAGCCUAUGGCGCAAAUGGAUUUCAAGCCACAGGGUGCUUUUGAAAACGAUGAAAAAGCUUCUUCUUGCGUCGUUCUCAGCUUCCGUCGUUUUUAUCCCUUCACUUUCCAUCCAACUCCCCACCCUCCACCAUACACACCCUAUCCUCCUCCGCCCACAGAUCUUAUGCUUCUUACUUUACCGAAGAACCUGCACCCUCGCCCUAUCCAUCUUAAUAUUAUUAUUUCAUUCCGCGCGGCCGUUUUUCAGAAUCUCCUUCCUCCCUUCCACCUACAACAUUGGCCCUUUCCUCUUUCGACCUAAUCGUGCGAGCGCGAAUCUUCCUUCCCUUUUGCACUAAGAAUUAUCUUCCGUCCUUUUCUUUUCUCUCGCCGCCCACGUUCACCUCCUCGUCCUCUUCUGUCACUGGCACCCUCUACUUUCCACAGUACCAUCACUUACGGAUCAAUAGGGUAUGGAAGAUAAACGCACCUAGAUGGAGGUCGUUGGAGGGGAUGCGACCGAGCAGGGAGAAAUAAAGAGAUAAAAAAAAGUGAGAUAAAGCAAGGAGGAAACAUGAAAGAGAAAGAAAAUGUCAGAACGGUAGAUAUGUUAUAUUUUCGCGAUACGAGGUUUUUCUUUCGUAUAUUCGUUAAAUUUUCUUUUUCUUUCUUUUUUUUUUUUUUAACUCUAGUGUUAUCAUAGAGAUUUCAAUGUUAAAAUGAGGAUACGUAAAAUAUAUUUGAAGCAUAUUUUUCGUCACUAUCCAAAGUGUCUCGUGCAGAAACGAAGGGGAAGACGGAGGCACAUUCACCGUCGCUUCUUUUAUCGAAGGAUGAGAUGGAAGGCGUUCUUUCUUUCUUCCUCUUUCUCUCUUUCUCUCUCUCUCUCUCUCUCUCUCUCUUUCUUUUUCUUUCUCUCUCUUUCUCUUGGAAGGGGGAAAUCGUUAGGAAAGCGACAUGCAAAUUCGUUUGAAAGUUUCGUGCACCUUUUCCCACUUCCACUACCCUCUGGGCACGAAAAAAGCGGGACAAGGGUAGGCUGUGAGUUUUCAUAAGAGAUAGAGAAGUAGAGAGAAAAAAAAAGAAUAAAAGAAAAAAAGAAAAAAAAGAAAAAAAAAAGGAAGAAGAGAAAAUGGAAGAAGGAAGAACAAAGGUCAUCGCAAAUAUUUCCCGCUCUUAUCUACUGACCUUUUAUCUGUCCGAUAUCGUAGCACAAAACUCGAAAAUUAAAAAUUAACAAUAGGAUAGUCGAAGAAUGAUUUUACGUAGAUUUCAAGUACGGUCGCUCCUCAAUCUCUGGGGAAAUUUCGAGCUUUCUAUUCGAAUUCUCUCUUAGUCAAGAUCAAAGCAAAAAAUUUUGUCUGAACUUCUGACGUUGUUACGAUCAUGAAUAAAAUACUCGAAUGAAAUGAUUCUUUUUUUAUGUCGAAAAUGUUUUCAAAAAAUUUUUAAGCUCGUUCGAGCGUAAUUUUGCGAAAAAGUUUUUUCUUUUUUUUUUUGUUUUGUUUUGUUUUUUUUUUUUAACUCGUCGCUUCGAUAAUAAUAUCAAAAAAUAAUACGAAAUUUUAAGAUUCUCUCUCACUCGACACAGAUUCAACGAGUGUUAAAUAUUUUCAUUAUCGAACGGAAGUAUUAUUAUCGCGUUCGCGUCUUGUUCGUUAACGUUCGGAGGAAGAAUUUCAAAAAUUUAAUGCAAUAGGUUUCCCGUUCUGUAGAUAACUGAAAUUUCUAUUUUUGCUCGUAGAUAUCGUUGGAAUAUUUUCGCGAUCGUGUAAUGCUUUUAAAACGUGGAUUUGUAAAAAUCUCUUCGAAAAUGGGGUAGGCAAAGUAGAAAAGAAAUAAAAAAGGGACGUGUAGGAGAGUGAAAAAAAAUGUCGAUUCGGUUGGUUUCGAAUCACUGCAAUCGCCUCCCUUUUAGCUCUUCUUUCCUUCUUUUUUUUUUUUUAUCGUCCGCGUGCCGUCGACGUAGGGGCGAAUGGCAAUAUACGAACAGAGCGAAGCCAAGCCCGUUUAAUAUCGCAGAUCGAGGCACAAAUGAAUAUUCAUUAAACACAUUUUUCCGAUUUUAAUUACAUCCCCUAAGCGGAUCUGGCCUGGGCUUACGCAGCGUUUCCCCCACUACUUUUUCCUUCUUCCUGCGUUUUCCUCCUCUCCUCUUCGCGUAGCCCUCCUCAUCGGAAGAGAUUUCUCUUUCUACUUUCUACUUUCUCUUUCUUCGUAUCCUCGUCGUCCGCACUCUGCGUGCUCUUUAAUGAAAUCCCCGCGGACGCCAUUAUUAAUAUCACCGGUCUUAUCUUUGAACGCAAUAAAGAAUUACUUUGUUAUUAAUUCCAAUGUCCGUCUCUCCUUUUCCCUAUCAUCGAAUAAAAUUGGAAUGCCAGAGGAUCGGAUCGAAAGAUUCGUCUCGAUUCGAUGAGAUACUUCUCGGUUAAGUCUAUGGUAUCUGUCUCAAUUGAAUUUAAAGACAGCCGAGAGAACUAUUGUGGUGGAAGAGUGUCAUUUCGAUGACGGAUACAAAUUUUACAUCCACCCGUUAAUAGACUGUAAAAAACAAUUAUUUUAAUCGACAGUUAUCCUUCAUUUUAAUCUUGAUCCGUUAUAAAGUAUAAAAAAAUAAUGCGAAUCAAAUCGAUAGAUAUUUUUCCUUGAAUUUGGAUUAUUUACGAUGAACUACUUAAAAUUUUUUCUAUCUUCUCUAUAAUCUAUCUACGAACCUAUCUACCACCUCCCGCAUAUAUCCGAAUUUUUCUUUGUAUCGUGUCUGGCCUGCUUGGCCUCACCCCUGCGCACACAUAUGACGUGAUGGCGAAUGGCGAAUCGUGCACGCAUGCGCUCGAUAUGAUAUUUCCUUUCUCGCGACGUACGUCUCACCCCCUCGACACCAGCAGCCCCCACCCACCUGGUUCUGGAAGACGAUGGGUGGUUUGGCGAUGGUGGUAGAGUAGCGGGCACGGCUCGACAAAGUAAGGGUGUUGCCAAGGGCAACGCUAACGAGCUCCAUGAGCGACGUCAGACAGGGCAACACACUCCCAUAGCACUAUCGCCUCCUCCCUUCCUUCUACCGAGCGUCACGACAAACCCUCCUUCUCUCUCUCUCUCUCUCUUUCUCUCUCUCUCUCUUUCUUUCUCAUUUUUUUUCUCUUCAUUCUCCACCUCCUACAAACUUGCUUAUGUAUAAAUACAUCCCCUUACGCCGUUAGCAACCUCGAUAUGCGAUGUCGCGAUGUCGAGAAGUUCUCGGACUACCCUUACGAAGAGAGAACCUCUAGAUGUAGAAAGCUACAAAUAUAGUGCCCUUCUCCAUCUCUCCUCUUUAUCCACGUGAUUCUAUAUUCCUUCGAUUCGAACUCACCUUUCAUCUUCCUUCAUUUAUUUCCAUUUACUAUCUAAUCCAUCACGCUCACUCCAUUCAUCAUACAAUACAUAUAUAUAUAUAUAUAUAUAUAUAUAUUUAUGUAUGUAUGUAUGUAUGUAUGCAUAUUAUUUUCUCGUUUCUUUUUUUCAAAAGAAAAUUUUGUUCAUUAAUAUGUUAUAGAUUGGAUGUAGUAUUAUAAAGAGAGAUAGAUUAAUGUUAGAAAUAAAGAAGUUUCUAUUUUAUAAGACGUUUAAAAAGUUUUGUCUUUUCAGAAAGAGGUGUACGGUACGACAAGGGAUCACUCGGUGCGGAGGGUGAAUCACCGGGAGUUUAUUGGCCACGACGCUCUGUGGCGGAGGAGGAUUCGUCGGGGCGGGAAAGCAAUUACGUAAUCAAAUGACAUCACCAGGAUUUUAUUUUUUGCCCUCGGAAAGCCAGGAGCACGCGGGUACGAGGGUGGAAUUACGAUUGGGGUUUGGAGCAUAGAGCAAGGUAGAAAAAGGAGGUGAAGGGUAGGUAUUGCGAAGGGUAGAUAUGGGUGAACCUUACUUAUUGUCAUAUUUUAAUAUAACGACGGUGUAACAACGCUUCCACGGUUCGUAACGUUUAUUUCAAUGCUAGACGCUUCUUCAUUUUCUCUCUCUCUCUCUCUCUCUCUCUCUCUCUCUCUCUCUUUCUUUCUCUAUCUACCUAUCUAUAUCCAUCUACCUAUCUCUUUUUUUUCAUCUUUUCAUCUCUAUAAAAUCAAGGUAGAUGUAAUGUAAUCUACGUUAGACAUUGUUAAAGUUGUGAUAUUUUCUAGAUUGAUAUAGCGCAUUAAAAAGAAACAGUGAAAAAUAUUUCUUCAUAAGAAAGUGUGUUUACUUUUUCAGUUGAGUUCAAUCUUUGAAAUUUUCAUAUUUUACCAUGCGAACAAAACGAAUUUUAAACUUCAAUAAGUAUAUAAAUAUGUACGUAUAAUAUAUACGCGUAUGUAUAAGCGUUUAUAAUUAGUUUUUUUUUUCUGUAUUUCUAAUCAUUGUAAAUAUAAUUACAUUGUAAAUAUAAUUUUGGCUACGACUUAAAUAAGAAGAAAAAUUAUUGGAUAUUAGAAGAAAAUGAGGUACGGUUUCUGUUUCUGAUAGUUAUUGUUGGGAAUAAAUUAUCCGCCGGCUUUUCGAUGCUUUUUGAAGAACGUGCAGCACCCACCGACGACUUGCACCUGGAAGAAAUGAAGAGGAUUGAAAGAACGGAGAUACCCUCGCAGUCAAGGAGGAAUGAUCAACGAGGAGGACGAAUCACUAGGCGGUGGAGUAUUCUUUCUCGAUCAUUGUAGAUGGCACAAAGCAUCGUCCUCUUUUUCUUUCUUUUUACUCUCGUUCUCUCUCUCUCUCUCUCUCUCUAUCUCUCUUUCUUUCUUUCUUACUCUUUCUUACUCUUCCAUUCUCUGUUUCAUUCUCUUCUGUAUCAGUUUUCCCUCUCGCCAUCUCCACCCUGCUGGAUAAUGCCGGCCUGAAAAUAAUAAUGCCUCCGCGCAAAGCACAAUGCGACAUUUUCUCUUGUUAAAUUAUCUCUGUGUCGCACUUUUUUGAGUCCCUUUUUCGUUCCAGCCGAUUCAUCAUUCUCGUCUUAUCCAGUCUUCAUCUUCUCCCCGUCUUUUCUUUAUCAUUUUUCUUCAUCGUUAUUCGAAGCGGCUCAUAUUUCAUAUGUAGAUCAUAAUUGUUUUUAAUUUUGCUAAAUCCUCAUAUGUAUAUAUAUGCAUAUAUAUAUAUAUAUGUGUGUGUGUGUAUAAAAUGUAUAUGUAUAGUUAUAUAUGUAUUGAAAGAAAAAAAAAAAAAAUAAAAAAUAAUGAAUUCGUAUUACGAAAUUUAUGGUAAAUAAAAAUAACAGUAGGUAUAAUGCGUUCGAAAUGUUAUUGUUCGACGAAGUAAGCGUAGUGCUUUUAAAAUUCAAUUCCUAUAAUGCGGAAGGAAUACCUAUCUACCAUUGAUGGUACUCAUAGCAGCGGUAACAGUAACACCCACAAGUCCAAACUCAAAGUUCCUUCUGUUUAACCGAUGGGUAGGGUGACUGAUACAGUCUAUACCGCAAACGCGUCCAAACAAACUCAGACUGAGAGAUUUAAGGAGCCUCACGUUUUGAGGGAUUUGAAAAACAGCUUCCAUCCCUCGUUAAGUCCAAUCGAAAUCCUUUGAAAAAAUUUCGGCUAGAAUGAAAAUAUAUCGUCGAAUUCGAAGGGAUCGAAAGACUCUAAUGUUUACAAUUUCUUUUGGCUCUGUAAAUUUAAAAUAUUAAAUUUUUUCUAUAUAUCUUCUCAAUUAUUUUUUUAUGAUAUAUUAUAUUUAAUUCAAGAAAAAUCAAUAUCUAUAAUUAAAAUAUUAUGUGAUAGGCGACGCCAAUGCCCCAAGGGGAAACUAUUAUCUCUACAGCAAGCAUGAUAUCACGGGAACGAAUAUGUAAAAAAUAAAAUGGAACAGAAACGCAUGGAAUUCAAAAAGAAAGGAAUAUUUGAACGAAUUCGUGAUCGUUAUCGAGUUUUCGAUAUUUUUACAAAGAGAGGUUUAAACUCGUGUGAGGAAACACGUACUACGGCUUGUCGUAAAAUAAUCCCCUAUACCGGCUUAUUGAUCAGAUCACAAGUCGUUGGAGCACACCAACCCUCCCCUUUAGUCCACCCCUCUCUUCCGCCGUUGCCGCCGCCUCCUUGCCACAGGGAACAGGGCAUUUUUAUUCGUGCAGUUUCACCCCCGUCGUUCCUUCCACUUCGGCUUUUCCUACCCCUCCUGUCUCUCGCUUGGCGACACGGGGGUGGUAAAGUCGUGGGAGCGCCAUUUUUUAUUUUACCUACGUCGAGCUACAGUCGCAUGGAGAUUCAUUAAUAACAAGCUGCCGCGGUUCCUACGAGGAUUAGAGACAGACUGGAGAAUGAGGAGUGACGGAGUGAUAGAAAGAGAGAAAUGUCUGUUCAAAUCAAUUUUCCGACGAAUAUCGGAGGAAAAAGAGAAGUAAUUCGCACGGUACACCGGAGUCGACUUUGUGAAAUAUCAAAACGUUCUUCCAUGCCUGUGUAAAUAACGAUAGGAAUGCAAAAGUGAUAUGAGAAAUUCUUAUUCCUCUAUAAGAGAAAGAAUGCGAAAUAGAUAUAUAACAACGUGCGACUAACAUAAAUAAAUUAUUGUCAAAAUUUAUAUCCCGAUGUUAUUAUUUCUAAUAUCAAAAUGGCGAUUAGGAAGAGCAAGUGCGAAUCGUCGAAUAUGAUUUAAAGAAAUUCAGUAGUAGGAGUUUUUAUUAUGCGCCAACAUAUAUUACUCUCUCUCUCUCUCUCUCUCUCUCUCUCUCUCUCUCU